rnacentral:rRNA from 1 species
GAUUAAGUUAUUAAGGGCGCACGGUGGAUGCCUUGGCACUAGAAGCCGAUGAAGGACGUUACUAACGACGAUAUGCUUUGGGGAGCUGUAAGUAAGCUUUGAUCCAGAGAUUUCCGAAUGGGGGAACCCAGCACGAGUUAUGUCGUGUUAUCC